GAUGAAGAACGCAGUGAAAUGCGAUAAGUAAUGUGAAUUGCAGAAUUCAGUGAAUCAUCGAGUCUUUGAACGCACAUUGCGCCCCCUGGUAUUCCGGGGGGCAUGCCUGUCCGAGCGUCAUUGCUGCCCUCAAGCACGGCUUGUGUGUUGGGCUCCGUCCCCCCGGGGACGGGCCCGAAAGGCAGCGGCGGCACCGAGUCCGGUCCUCGAGCGUAUGGGGCUUUGUCACCCGCUCUGUAGGCCCGGCCGGCGCCAGCCGACAACCCAUCAUCCUUUUCAGGUUGACCUCGGAUCAGGUAGGGAUACCCGCUGAACUUAAGCAUAUCAAUAAGCGGAGGA
rnacentral:misc_RNA from 1 species